UUUUCCCGGAACAAUAGUUUUACCAGUCAAUUCGGUUUUUGGAUAAACUGUGUUCAAUGGGGGUGAAGGAUCUGUGGAAAGUCUUGUCCCCUGUUGCCAAGAAGUCAGUACCUGUCAAAUCACUGGCUGGUAAAACUCUGGCAGUGGAUCUAAGUGGAUGGAUUGUCGAGUUCAGAACAAACCAGAAUGUACCCCAUCUGUAUCUCAAAACUCUGUAUCAAAGAGCCAGUCGUCUGAUGAAGCAGGGAGUCCUAUUAGUAAUGGUGGCUGAUGGGAUAGCUCCAGAGUGUAAGAGUGAUGCGAUGGCACUGCGCAGUAAAGAAGGAGGAGGCGUGACCAACAGUGUCAGUAGACCGUUGUUCAAGCCUAUUGUGAAAAAGUGUUUUGAAGUGUUGGAAUGUCUUGGAUUGCCUUGUAUCGAGGCACCAGGAGAAGCAGAGGCGUAUUGUGCCUGGCUAGACAAAAAUGAGUUAGUGGAUGGGGUCCUGACCUCGGACUCGGAUGCUUUGUUGUAUGGAGCUAGAACAGUCUAUAGGAAUCUAGAAGCACAGAACAAGUUUGACUAUGCUGUUGAUCUUUAUGAGAUGUCGGUCAUAGAAGAACGAUUGGGGAUGACAAGGGAGACAUUAGUUGCUAUGGCGAUGCUAGUUGGCUGUGAUUAUGACGAAGGAAUAAGGGACAUUGGGAUUGAAAAAGCACAGGAGCUCUUUAGAGAACUAAGAAGUAAUCACAAGGACCCAUUCACAAGAAUAAUGAGUUGGAGAGAAAAUCAGGAGUUAAAGAAACUCACAAAUUCUGAGGAAAAAAAGGUGGCACAUUGCAAACUUUGCCAACACAAAGGAACUAAAACUCUUCAUGAUAAAGAGGGUUGUCAUGAUUGCAGUUCCGUUAAAUCAUGUGAUCAAAGUUCAAAGGUCACAUGUACCUGUGGCAGUGUUCAUCACCAGAAGGAGAAACAUACUCUAGAGCUGAGAUAUUAUGAGAAAGCAUUGCGAAACUCAGCAUUCCCAAAUAAAAUGUUGGUAGAUGAGUUCCUUCAUGCUAAUGAUGAUUUGGUCAAACCCAGCCUGAAUUGGAAGCCCAUCGACAUUACUAGUUUAGAAAAUCUGUUAUCAACUUCCUAUGAGAACUUGAAGAUGGCAGAACUUGUAGUUCAGCUUCAAAUGUCUGGCCAGUCCUUCCUCCUGUGUAAGGACACAACCCUCAAUCCAACAAAAAUACUAAAGGAGUGUAAACAGAAUUUUGUGAAAUGUUUUCAAGUCCAGUGGUCCAAGUUAGCCUCAGACCGUACAACACAUGAUAGCUGCUACACAGUGACAGUGGAACAGGAAGCGUUCUCCAGACUGUACGGUGAGAUAACACAGGAGUACCGGGCGGAAGUAGAGCUGGCCAGGAAGAAAAAGGAGCAUAAGAAAGAAACCAAGAAAGGUACAAAAAAAAAGAAUGGAUCUCUGAUGACUGAUUACUUCAAGGUGAAGAAAAGACCGUGAACACCGGAGUCAGAUGAUGGUGAAGGCAACCAAUAGAAUUCUGGAUACAGGAGUAAAGACUCGCCAAAAAGUGAGGAAGACUGAUAGAAAUCAUGUGAAUGAUUACUCCAGUGUGAUGUUCAUGAUCAGAAUGCCUUCAAACAUUGACAAAAUUAGACACUGUACAGCAAGUCCUUCUUUAUGUGGAUCUUUUGGAAUGUCAGUGUACUGGGAUGAUGUUCAAUGACUAGAGUUUUUGAUGAGCUGGACUCGACUUUGCCAAUUGCAAAAGCUAAUUUAAUCAAAUGAAUACAAGUUUGUAAGAGCAGGAAGCUGUCUCAGGCAACAUGCAGAACUCUGUCCUAGGUUACUUGUAAGUUUGAGAGAUUGGAAAAUGAAAAAUUGAAUGUUUGUUGUUUAUAGGUAUACAUGCACUGGCGUCGGAAGCAAAUUGAAAGUGGGGGGGCUAGACUAAUCCUCAGAAAUAUUGAGAAAAAGGUAAUUUCCAAAAUCAUGGAAAUCCUAAUCCGUGGGGGGGUAUACCUACACUUCAAAAAAAAAUUUACCACAUUUUUUUUCCUUAAUCAUGAAAUUCUUAAUCGGGGGGGGGGGGGCGACUAUGCUUCUGAAUCCAACUUCUCAAUCUUUCAAGGUAAAAAAAAAGUGGGGGGGCUGAACCCUCUAUCAUGCUAUGUUUCUAAUGGUAAGGUUUAACUUUGCAAAAAAAGUGGGGGGGGCUAAGCCCCACCUAGCCCCCCCGGUUCCGACGCCUAUGACAUGUAUACAUAUAAAAAUAAAUAAACUAAACCAAAAUGCCUACCGGUAGUCAUCGUGGUAUUUUCCAUCCAC
rnacentral:misc_RNA from 1 species